AUGCCUAGGAAAUUGCCCUGAUGUGGGGGAUAACCAUUGGAAACGAUGGCUAAUACCGCAUGAUGCCUACGGGCCAAAGAGGGGGACCUUCGGGCCUCUCGCGUCAGGAUAUGCCUAGGUGGGAUUAGCUAGUUGGUGAGGUAAUGGCUCACCAAGGCGACGAUCCCUAGCUGGUCUGAGAGGAUGAUCAGCCACACUGGAACUGAGACACGGUCCAGACUCCUACGGGAGGCAGCAGUGGGGAAUAUUGCACAAUGGGCGCAAGCCUGAUGCAGCCAUGCCGCGUGUGUGAAGAAGGCCUUCGGGUUGUAAAGCACUUUCAGUCGUGAGGAAGGUGGUAGUGUUAAUAGCACUAUCAUUUGACGUUAGCGACAGAAGAAGCACCGGCUAACUCCGUGCCAGCAGCCGCGGUAAUACGGAGGGUGCGAGCGUUAAUCGGAAUUACUGGGCGUAAAGCGCAUGCAGGUGGUUUGUUAAGUCAGAUGUGAAAGCCCGGGGCUCAACCUCGGAAUAGCAUUUGAAACUGGCAGACUAGAGUACUGUAGAGGGGGGUAGAAUUUCAGGUGUAGCGGUGAAAUGCGUAGAGAUCUGAAGGAAUACCGGUGGCGAAGGCGGCCCCCUGGACAGAUACUGACACUCAGAUGCGAAAGCGUGGGGAGCAAACAGGAUUAGAUACCCUGGUAGUCCACGCCGUAAACGAUGUCUACUUGGAGGUUGUGGCCUUGAGCCGUGGCUUUCGGAGCUAACGCGUUAAGUAGACCGCCUGGGGAGUACGGUCGCAAGAUUAAAACUCAAAUGAAUUGACGGGGGCCCGCACAAGCGGUGGAGCAUGUGGUUUAAUUCGAUGCAACGCGAAGAACCUUACCUACUCUUGACAUCCAGAGAACUUUCCAGAGAUGGAUUGGUGCCUUCGGGAACUCUGAGACAGGUGCUGCAUGGCUGUCGUCAGCUCGUGUUGUGAAAUGUUGGGUUAAGUCCC
rnacentral:rRNA from 1 species